rnacentral:rRNA from 1 species
UACAGAGGUCUCAAGCGUUGUUCGGAUUCAUUGGGCGUAAAGGGUGCGUAGGCGGCGGGGCAAGUCGGAUGUGAAAUCUCAGGGCUCAACCCUGAAACUGCAUUCGAUACUGCCUUGCUCGAGGACUGGAGAGGAGAUUGGAAUUCACGGUGUAGCAGUGAAAUGCGCAGAUAUCAGGAAGAACACCCGUGGCGAAGGCGGCUCUCUGGUACGUGACUGACGCUGAGACGCGAAAGCGUGGGGAGCAAACAGG